AACUGCAACCUCGCCCGCCUCAGGGUCCAGAGGUCCAAGGCCCCACAACCAACUGCCUCUGCAUCCAUAUGCUGCUCUGGCAGCCGCUUAGCCGCCCCAGGAUCGGGACGCCAUCUCUGCCUUCAUCGCCGACCUCCGCUCGAUGGCCGUCCACUUAUCGCCGACGCUCCCUCCGCCACCUCCCGAGCCGGAUUAGGGGUCGGGUCCCUCCCCGGCCCCAUUUUGUGUUUAUUUUGGGCUUGUUGAGCUGUGCCCUCAGCAAAACCUUUUGUACUCUGUCUUGUGAGAGUUGUGUGUGUGUGGUGUGAACCUUCUUGUGUACUAGUGCUAUGUGGCGGUUUGCUUUAUUUAUAAAGCGGGGCGAAAGCCUUUUUCGGUUUAA